rnacentral:rRNA from 1 species
AACGAACGCUGGCGGCAUGCCUAACACAUGCAAGUCGAACGAGACGUUCGGGCCUAUUGGCGCACGGCUGGGUAACGAGGGGGAACCUGCACGUAGGUUCGGAGUAACUCCCCGAAAGGGGUGCUAAGACCGGAGAAUGUCAUCGGACAUAAGAUUUAUCGCCUUUGGAUGGGCCCGCGAUGGAUUAGCUAGUUGGUAGGGUAAAAGCCUACCAAGGCGACGAUGCAUAGCUGGUCGGAGAGGAGGAUCAGCCACACUGGGAAUGCGACCCGGCCCAGACUCCUACGGGAGGGAGGAGUGGGGUGUAUUGGGCAAUGAGCGAAGGUCUGAUCCAGCCACGCCGGGUGAGUGAGGAAGGGCUUAGGGUUGUAAUGCUCUUUUACCCGGGAUGAUAAUGACAGUACCGGGAGAAUAAGCUCCGGCUAACUCCGUG